AGGCAGUGAUGACUACUUAGGACACCUUUGGAUUAAUGAUGAAAACACUCGUUAGAAUCUGAGCCUC